UAGACGCUGCUGACUUCAAGUUCCUGAAAAACAACUUGGGCAAACAUCUUAUUGUUUAGGCCACUUGGAGGACAUGAAAGAUUUUUGUAGCAACAGUUAAAGCAAGCUUGAUGCUGACGUCAGUACAGUUCAUUAUUUAUUAAGCAAGUUAUAGCUUAAUGGAUCUGAUGACUGCUCUCAGUUUCAAAAGGAGUGGACCCUCUUCUCACUGAUGCCAUGGACCAGCCCUAAGACAGACGGAGAUGGAGGUGAGAGUUCCAGACUCAGGACCUGUGUCCAGGAGACCCCUGUGUCACCCCCAGAGAAGCUGGUGUUUGAUCUCGGUCUUGAAGAAUGAGUAGACUUCCAGGUGGGGAAAGGACAUUCCGACAUGGAGAAGGAUGCGUGAGGUCAGGGAGAAAGGAGUGACCGGGGCACAUGCAGGUUGCUCUGCGGCUUGCCAGUAAGGUGAGGGUGAGGCCAGAAAGGUAAGGAAACAGGCAGUGGUGCCUCGUGACCGGCUAGUGGAUGGUCAAGGGUUUCAUGGUUCACAGCGCAGCGGCUAUUGGUGCAUAUUCUAUAACAUGACCUCAGCGCAGGAGGAGAGGAACCAUCGGUUAACUGUGAAGGGACAGCUCAAGGGAUGCUGGGAUGUCCACAUCAGCAUCAGCAUCAGCCUGAUCUGGCAGUUUGACGUGUGUCGAUGGAUGUCCGCUAUGUUGUUAUGCGUAUAAUACCGGAACUCCAGGGGAUCCCAUGAGCAGGAUGUGAAGCUGGGCAUCGUGCUGUGCUGAGGACUUUGGACUUAAGCCUGAAGGUAAGGAAGGGAGAGUUAAGCAAAGAAUUGGUAUCCAUCCUUUAGAAGGGUUGUUCCUGUUGGUGGUAUGAAAAAGCGGUUAGACUGAAGCAGCUGGGAGCAGGAGGGCCAGGUAGGAUUUGCUGCGGUCAUUCAGGAAAGAGGAAGCAGGAGUCAUGGGCGAAACGAGCCUCUGGAGGCUGUAGGUGUGCCCAGCAGGACGUGGUGCCCUGUUGUACUUGAAGCAGCAGGAGAGGGAACUCACCUGCCGUGCCUUCCUGGUUUCCAAUUUUGGCACUGGGCAAGCUCCUCCCACAGAAGGAGGGGAAGUUUGGGGUGGAAAGAAUGCAUUUAGUUCAGAACUGUUUGGAUUGGAAGUGUCGGUGCAAAUGCAGCUAAGAGAAGGGAGUGGGCGUGAGAGAGAUGUAGGGCUGAAGUCACGGAAGAGGAUGCUGUCAUUCAGGAAGGUGGCUGGCUGCUCAGCAUAACGUGGAGGGGGGGGACCAUCUUCCCUGGUCAUUUUUUUCCCUGUAACUGAGCCCAAGAGGCACAGGCCCCGGAGUACCAUGGGUUUGUCCUGAAUCCAGCCAAGAGGAAGAAAUGGAAAAUAAAUACGAGAGAAAACAAAGGCCGGAGUAGGUAGGAGAGGAGCACACGAGUCUAUCUGCGAAGAGCUGGGAGCUGUGGUCUCCCCCAGGGGUGCCAAGUGCAGGGGAAGAAGGCGGAGCCUCUGUGAGCCGGAGACGCUAGUGCUGUUCAGGGUCGGCCAGCAGAAAUGGGGACCCCUUCAGCCCUCUUCUGGGGUUCAGCCCCCACCCCACCCCACCGUUGUCAUCACUACAGGCUGGAACCCGGGAGGCCGGGCUCCUUGGUGCGGCCGGUGUGAAGGCUGGCCGGAACUUCAGGGCGGUGGACAGGCGUGACGGAGACACCUGGGUCCCUGGAAUGCACGGGGCACAGGAGGCUGGAAGGGAGAGUGGGCAGUCGCUCCGAACAUCUCAGUUCCUGAAAGAUGUUGGGCUGCAGGAGAUGAGGGGUAGAAAAUACUGGACUGGGGAGAAA